AUGCAUGUGCAGGUUGCUGUUCUUAGCCCGAACGUGCCGGCGAUGUACGAGCUACACUUUGCCGUGCCCAUGGCAGGCGCGAUCCUCUGCACCUUGAACACACGGCAUGACGCGGCCAUGGUGUCCGCGUUGCUGAAGCACUCUGCCGCCAAGGUGUUGUUUGUCGAGUCAGGCCUCCUUGAGGUUGGGAGAGCUGCUCUGAAUAACCUCGCCGGCGACCAGACUAGCGCCACGGCCCUUCCGGUCCUCAUAACCAUCUCACACGAUGGAGGCUGCAUCAACUCCGCCUACAACGACUACGAGAGUCUCAUCACAGAAGCACCAUUAGGGUUCGACAUCCGUUGGCCCCUGAAUGAGUUGGACCCCAUCGCGUUGAAUUACACGUCUGGCACAACUGCGAGGCCCAAGGGCGUGAUCUACAGCCACCGGGGCGCGUACCUCAACACUAUUGCAACGGCUCUCACGUACAACAUCACUGUUACGCCGACUUACCUGUGGACCGUGCCGAUGUUUCACGCCAAUGGGUGGAACCUAUCAUGGGGCAUCGCUAUGCAGGGCGGUACCAACGUUUUCUUGCGCCACUUCACGGCAAAGGUCGUCUUUGAUAAGAUCUCACAACACAAGGUGACGCACAUGGGCGGGGCACCCACAGUUCUCAACAUGAUCGUCAACGCACCAAGUGGUGACCGAAAGCCACUGCCAGUGAUAGUACAUAUCAUGACCGGCGGCGCCGCACGGCCGCCUAACAUCUUGUCCGGGAUGGAGGAGCUUGGAUUCAUAGUAUACCAAAUGUAUGGUCUUACUGAGACUACCGGCCCGGCCACCAUCAACACAUGGAUGCCGGAGUGGGACACGUUGCCGACCGAGGAGCGCUCACGGCUCACGUUGCCGACCGACUGGGGUGAGACACCUUGUGCGUUCGUCAAGUUAAAGACUAACGUCGAUGCAACAGAAAUAGAGAUUAUAAACUACUGUCGGGAUAAGUUGCCACAUUACAUGGCACCAAAGGCGGUGGUCUUCGCUGACUUGCCCAAGACUUCGACAGGGAAGACUCAAAAGUUUAUUCUCCGUCAGAAGGCUCGGGCUAUGGGCAGCCUUGUGAAGACAUAA
rnacentral:rRNA from 1 species